GGUUAAAGUUAUAGCCGGUCUCACCUAUUAGUAGGUGAGGAAAAACGUUGUACACACCGCCCGUCGCUACUACCGAUUGAAUGGCUCAGUGAGGCCUUGGGACUGGCUCAGAGAGGUCGGCAACGACCACUCAGAGCCGGAAACUUGGUCAAACUUGGUCAUUUAGAGG
rnacentral:rRNA from 1 species